rnacentral:rRNA from 1 species
GACGAACGCUGGCGGCGUGCUUAACACAUGCAAGUCGAACGGAAAGGCCCUGCUUUUGUGGGGUGCUCGAGUGGCGAACGGGUGAGUAACAUGUGAGUAACCUGCCCUUGAUUUUGGGAUAACUUCAGGAAACUGGGGCUAAUCCCGGAUAGGAGCUCCUGCUGCAUGGUGGGGGUUGGAAAGUUUCGCCGGUUGGGGAUGGACUCGCGGCUUAUCAGCUUGUUGGUGGGGUAGUGGCUUACCAAGGCUUGGACGGGUAGACGGCCUGGGAGGGUGACAGGCCACGUUGGGACUGGGAUACGGCCCAGACUCCAACGGGAGGCAGGGGUGGAGAAUAUUGUACAGUGGGCGGGAGCCUGGUGCGACGACGCCGCGUGCGGGAUGACAGCCUUCGGGUAGUAAACCGCUUUCGCCUAAGACGAAGCGUGAGUGACGGUAAUGGGUGAAGAAGCACCGGCUAACUUCGUG